AUUGAACGCUGGCGGCAGGCCUAACACAUGCAAGUCGAGCGGUAGCACAGAGAGCUUGCUCUCGGGUGACGAGCGGCGGACGGGUGAGUAAUGUCUGGGAAACUGCCUGAUGGAGGGGGAUAACUACUGGAAACGGUAGCUAAUACCGCAUAAUGUCGCAAGACCAAAGUGGGGGACCUUCGGGCCUCAUGCCAUCAGAUGUGCCCAGAUGGGAUUAGCUAGUAGGUGGGGUAACGGCUCACCUAGGCGACGAUCCCUAGCUGGUCUGAGAGGAUGACCAGCCACACUGGAACUGAGACACGGUCCAGACUCCUACGGGAGGCAGCAGUGGGGAAUAUUGCACAAUGGGCGCAAGCCUGAUGCAGCCAUGCCGCGUGUGUGAAGAAGGCCUUCGGGUUGUAAAGCACUUUCAGCGGGGAGGAAGGCGAUAAGGUUAAUAACCUCAUCGAUUGACGUUACCCGCAGAAGAAGCACCGGCUAACUCCGUGCCAGCAGCCGCGGUAAUACGGAGGGUGCAAGCGUUAAUCGGAAUUACUGGGCGUAAAGCGCACGCAGGCGGUCUGUCAAGUCGGAUGUGAAAUCCCCGGGCCCAACCUGGGAACUGCAUUCGAAACUGGCAGGCUAGAGUCUUGUAGAGGGGGGUAGAAUUCCAGGUGUAGCGGUGAAAUGCGUAGAGAUCUGGAGGAAUACCGGUGGCGAAGGCGGCCCCCUGGACAAAGACUGACGCUCAGGUGCGAAAGCGUGGGGAGCAAACAGGAUUAGAUACCCUGGUAGUCCACGCCGUAAACGAUGUCGAUUUGGAGGUUGUGCCCUUGAGGCGUGGCUUCCGGAGCUAACGCGUUAAAUCGACCGCCUGGGGAGUACGGCCGCAAGGUUAAAACUCAAAUGAAUUGACGGGGGCCCGCACAAGCGGUGGAGCAUGUGGUUUAAUUCGAUGCAACGCGAAGAACCUUACCUGGUCUUGACAUCCACAGAACUUUCCAGAGAUGGAUUGGUGCCUUCGGGAACUGUGAGACAGGUGCUGCAUGGCUGUCGUCAGCUCGUGUUGUGAAAUGUUGGGUUAAGUCCCGCAACGAGCGCAACCCUUAUCCUUUGUUGCCAGCGGUUAGGCCGGGAACUCAAAGGAGACUGCCAGUGAUAAACUGGAGGAAGGUGGGGAUGACGUCAAGUCAUCAUGGCCCUUACGACCAGGGCUACACACGUGCUACAAUGGCAUAUACAAAGAGAAGCGACCUCGCGAGAGCAAGCGGACCUCAUAAAGUAUGUCGUAGUCCGGAUUGGAGUCUGCAACUCGACUCCAUGAAGUCGGAAUCGCUAGUAAUCGUAGAUCAGAAUGCUACGGUGAAUACGUUCCCGGGCCUUGUACACACCGCCCGUCACACCAUGGGAGUGGGUUGCAAAAGAAGUAGGUAGCUUAACCUUCGGGAGGGCGCUUACCACUUUGUGAUUCAUGACUGGGGUGA
rnacentral:rRNA from 1 species